rnacentral:snoRNA from 1 species
AAAACAAACUCCACUAUAGAGAACAAACUUGGCUGGCCAAUGAAGUCACAAGUGUAGGCAGUGUGCUAUGCGAGGGGCAGGGCUUUCACUAACAGCACAAGGGUCUCUGGCCCAAUGAGUGUUUUGAUAGUAAUUGUUAGUACAAGU